rnacentral:rRNA from 1 species
AGUGAACGCUGGCGGUAGGCCUAACACAUGCAAGUCGAACGGCAGCACAGUAAGAGCUUGCUCUUACGGGUGGCGAGUGGCGGACGGGUGAGGAAUACAUCGGAAUCUACUUUUUCGUGGGGGAUAACGUAGGGAAACUUACGCUAAUACCGCAUACGACCUACGGGUGAAAGCAGGGGAUCUUCGGACCUUGCGCGAUUGAAUGAGCCGAUGUCGGAUUAGCUAGUUGGCGGGGUAAAGGCCCACCAAGGCGACGAUCCGUAGCUGGUCUGAGAGGAUGAUCAGCCACACUGGAACUGAGACACGGUCCAGACUCCUACGGGAGGCAGCAGUGGGGAAUAUUGGACAAUGGGCGCAAGCAUGAUCCAGCCAUACCGCGUGGGUGAAGAAGGCCCUCGGGUUGUAAAGCCCUUUUGUUGGGAAAGAAAAGCAGCAGGUUAAUACCCCGCUGUUCUGACGGUACCCAAAGAAUAAGCACCGGCUAACUUCGUG